rnacentral:rRNA from 1 species
UACGUAGGUGACAAGCGUUGUCCGGAUUUACUGGGCGUAAAGCGUGCGCAGGCGGUUGGCAAAGUCAGCUGUGAAAGCCCCGGGCUUAACCUGGGAAUGGCGGUUGAAACUAGUCGACUCGAAUCUGGCAGAGGGGGGUGGAAUUCCACGUGUAGCAGUGAAAUGCGUAGAGAUGUGGAGGAACACCGAUGGCGAAGGCAGCCCCCUGGGCUGAGAUUGACGCUCAGGCACGAAAGCGUGGGGAGCAAACAGG